UGACUUUAGAUGAAAGGCAGUAAAACUAUUAGAUGAGGACUCUGAGAAGAGGAGGAAGAUAGAAGUCUUAGGACAGACAAAACGACAGUCAUGCGUCAGUUUCAUGAGUAACAUUAAAACUCCAAAUGCUGUUGAUACAUAUUUGUUA
rnacentral:pre_miRNA from 1 species